rnacentral:lncRNA from 1 species
UAUAGCUAUACAUAGUUUAUGUCAAGAGUACAGAAAUAAAAUAAAGAUUUGAAGGAAGCAAGAAAAACAGUAAACUUAAGACGGAAAGAUAUCAAAACAAAAGUUUCCUUCGCCUCAUCAGUAAUUCCCAUCAAGCUCUCUUCUGUAGAACAUCAAAUGUGCGACACAAGCUGCGACCUGUUCCCUCGAAUCGAGGUCGCUUGAUAGUGGGCAAGUUAUUAACUCCCGUGUAUUAAUGUGAUAAGUGGAGACAGAU